UAGCUCUGGUUUCUCUUAAAUCAUGCAUGAAUCUUUUGCCUUUUGUUAAAGAUUUCGGUGGAGGGAAACAUCAAUAAGUUUGGUGUAUUUUUGUGAGCAUUGGUUCGGCAAAGCU